UACGUAGGGUGCAAGCGUUGUCCGGAAUUAUUGGGCGUAAAGAGCUCGUAGGCGGUCUGUUGCGUCGGCUGUGAAAACCCGGGGCUCAACCCCGGGCCUGCAGCCGAUACGGGCAGACUAGAGUUCGGUAGGGGAGACUGGAAUUCCUGGUGUAGCGGUGAAAUGCGCAGAUAUCAGGAGGAACACCGAUGGCGAAGGCAGGUCUCUGGGCCACUACUGACGCUGAGAAGCGAAAGCAUGGGGAGCGAACAGG
rnacentral:rRNA from 1 species